rnacentral:rRNA from 1 species
AUUGAACGCUGGCGGAAUGCUUUACACAUGCAAGUCGAACGGUAGAGGGGGCAACCCCUCGAGAGUGGCGAACGGGUGAGUAAUAUAUCGGAACGUGCCCAGUCGUGGGGGAUAACGUAGCGAAAGUUACGCUAAUACCGCAUACGAUCUACGGAUGAAAGCGGGGGACUCGCAAGAGCCUCGCGCGAUUGGAGCGGCCGAUAUCAGAUUAGGUAGUUGGUGGGGUAAAAGGCUCACCAAGCCAACGAUCUGUAGCUGGUCUGAGAGGACGACCAGCCACACUGGAACUGAGACACGGUCCAGACUCCUACGGGAGGCAGCAGUGGGGAAUUUUGGACAAUGGGCGAAAGCCUGAUCCAGCCAUGCCGCGUGCAGGAUGAAGGCCUUCGGUUGUAAACUGCUUUGUACGGAACGAAAAGACUCUGUUAAGUACUGGGUCCAUGACGGUACCGUAAGAAUAAGCACCGGCUAACUACGUG